AAUGAACGUUGGCGGCGUGGAUUAGGCAUGCAAGUCGAGCGAGAACCCAGCAAUGGGGGACAGCGGCGAAAGGGACAGUAAUGUGUAGAUCAUCUGCCCUCAGGUCCGGGAUAGCUGCGGGAAACUGCAGGUAAUACCGGAUAACAUCUCCGGAUCAAAGGUGUGAUUCCGCCUGAGGCUGAGUCUACAUCCUAUUAGCUAGUUGGUGGGGUAAUGGCCUACCAAGGCGAUGAUGGGUAGCGGGUGUCAGAGCACGACCCGCGUCAUUGGGACUGAGACACUGCCCAGACACCUACGGGUGGCUGCAGUCGAGAAUCUUCGGCAAUGGGCGCAAGCCUGACCGAGCGACGCCGCGUGCGGGAUGAAGGCCUUCGGGUUGUAAACCGCUGUCAGAGGGGAUGAAAUGCAGGUGGGUUCUCCCAUCUGUUUGACAUAGCCUCAGAGGAAGGACGGGCUAAGUUCGUGCCAGCAGCCGCAGUAAGAC
rnacentral:rRNA from 1 species